UACGUACCGUCCAAACGUUAUUCGGAAUUACUGGGCUUAAAGGGUUUGUAGGCGGCGCUGUUAGUCGGGUGUGAAAUCCCACGGCUCAACCGUGGAAUUGCGCCCGAUACUGCAGUGCUUGAGGGAGACAGAGGUAAGCGGAACUGAUGGUGGAGCGGUGAAAUGCGUUGAUAUCAUCAGGAACACCGGUGGCGAAAGCGGCUUACUGGGUCUCUUCUGACGCUGAGAAACGAAAGCUAGGGUAGCGAAGGGG
rnacentral:rRNA from 1 species